CCUACGGGGGGCUGCAGUGGGGAAUAUUGGACAAUGGGCGAAAGCCUGAUCCAGCCAUGCCGCGUGUGUGAAGAAGGCCUUCGGGUUGUAAAGCACUUUCAGUGGGGAAGAAAGCCUUGGGGCUAAUACCCUCGAGGAAGGACAUCACCCACAGAAGAAGCACCGGCUAACUCCGUGCCAGCAGCCGCGGUAAUACGGAGGGUGCGAGCGUUAAUCGGAAUUACUGGGCGUAAAGCGCGCGUAGGCGGUCUGAUAAGCCGGUUGUGAAAGCCCCGGGCUCAACCUGGGAACGGCAUCCGGAACUGUCAGGCUAGAGUGCAGGAGAGGAAGGUAGAAUUCCCGGUGUAGCGGUGAAAUGCGUAGAGAUCGGGAGGAAUACCAGUGGCGAAGGCGGCCUUCUGGACUGACACUGACGCUGAGGUGCGAAAGCGUGGGUAGCAAGCAGGAUUAGAUACCCUAGUAGUC
rnacentral:rRNA from 1 species